rnacentral:misc_RNA from 1 species
GAUGAAGAACGUAGUGAAAUGCGAUACGUAAUGUGAAUUGCAGAAUUCAGUGAAUCAUCGAGUCUUUGAACGCACAUUGCGCCCCCUGGUAUUCCGGGGGGCAUGCCUGUCCGAGCGUCAUUGCUGCCCUCAAGCACGGCUUGUGUGUUGGGCCUCCGUCCUCCUCCCGGGGGACGGGCCCGAAAGGCAGCGGCGGCACCGCGUCCGGUCCUCGAGCGUAUGGGGCUUCGUCACCCGCUCUUGUAGGCCCGGCCGGCGCUUGCAGACACAUCAAUCUUUUUUCCAGGUUGACCUCGGAUCAGGUAGGGAUACCCGCUGAACUUAAGCAUAUCAAUAAGCGGAGGA